rnacentral:rRNA from 1 species
GAGUUUGAUCUUGGCUCAGGACGAACGCUGGCGGCGUGCUUAACACAUGCAAGUCGAACGGAAAGGCCCCUUCGGGGGUGCUCGAGUGGCGAACGGGUGAGUAACACGUGGGUGAUCUGCCCUGCACUUUGGGAUAAGCCUGGGAAACUGGGUCUAAUACCGGAUAGGACUCCGAGAUGCAUGUCUUGGGGUGGAAAGCUUUUGCGGUGUGGGAUGGGCCCGCGGCCUAUCAGCUUGUUGGUGGGGUGAUGGCCUACCAAGGCGACGACGGGUAGCCGGCCUGAGAGGGUGUCCGGCCACACUGGGACUGAGAUACGGCCCAGACUCCUACGGGAGGCAGCAGUGGGGAAUAUUGCACAAUGGGCGCAAGCCUGAUGCAGCGACGCCGCGUG